GAUUUGUUCGUUUGUUUUUUUUAAGUUUAUGUGUAAUUUCAGGUAUUUUUCCGAUUAUUCCAACAGCGCCUGAACGUAGCAUGUCUUUAAGUUCGUGUUUUUCUCUGGGGGACAUCGUCCCAUUGGUGCAGUUGGCACCAAAAUAAGAAAAAAGUCACAAUUCUGAAAUAAUAACUCCAAAAUGUUCUUAAAAGUACAUUACUUUUUAAAUUAAAAUUAGCAUGUUUUAUGUCUAAACUCCAUGUUAUUUCUUUCUCUUAUGAGGCGGAUUACCAAAGCACGCCACACACCUGCUCCUGGUUCGGUUAGAACAAAUCAAAACGUUUGCACACCAAUGGUCACCCGAGGCCGUCACAGACCCUUGCAGCUGGAGGAGACCGCCGUAAGCAGUAUUUCCACUUCCCCUCCAUUCAUCUUCUCACACCUUGUUUUGUCGCUCCGAGGCAGACCGGGCUGCACUAAAGGACUGCGCCGCUGAUGAGAUCGCCCAAAUGUUAAUUAAAAAGAUCCUGAACUGGAAGAUGAAAGAAAAGAGGCGGGUUUGCCGGCAGAACACUGACAGGUUCUCCCCGGAAACCAAAGAUGAACUUCCCUUUGAUGUGGCAGGUCUUUAGCAGACCUUCUGAGGCAGAGGGAGGGAAAAACUGUGGUGUUUGGGUCUUUUUCCUGGUAAAGGAAAGCCAGAAAUGUGUCAUUAAAUGAGAGGAUACUUUGCUGACUGAGGUGUA